rnacentral:rRNA from 1 species
AUUGAACGCUGGCGGCAGGCCUAACACAUGCAAGUCGAACGAGUGGCGGACGGGUGAGGAAUGUCUGGGAAACUGCCCGAUGGAGGGGGAUAACUACUGGAAACGGUAUCUAAUACCGCAUACCAUCGGAUGUGCCCAGAGGGUAUUAGCUUGUAGGUGGGGUAACGGCUCACCUAGGCGACGAUCCCUAGCUGGUCUGAGAGGAUGACCAGCCACACUGGAACGGAGACACGGUCCAGACGCCUACGGGAGGCAGCAGUGGGGAAUAUUGCACAAUGGGCGCAAGCCUGAUGCAGCCAUGCCGCGUGUGUGAAGAAGGCCUUCGGGGUGUAAAGCACUUUCAGCGGGGAGGCGUUACCCGCAGAAGAAGCACCGGCUAACUCCGUGCCAGCAGCCGCGGUAAUUC